GUGACCCACUAUGCGUCUCACCUCCGCCACGAGACGUCUGUGGACGUGACGCUUGGCUGCUACCAGCAGACUGAUGUCUCAGUGGUGUACGCCACUCUCCACAUGGGGCUGGACGGGCUUCUCUCCUCUUCAGCGUGGUCGGAGGCUGCCUCCUUCUCUACGCCCACCACUCAGCAGUUCACUGACCCAGAGCCUGAGGGCCACAACUGCUAUGAGGGCUGGGAGGAGGACCUGCUGCCUGAGGAGAGGGAGGUUCCUCUGCUAAACCUCUACCUUACCAUCAAGAGAGUGGAGGACAUC